rnacentral:snoRNA from 1 species
CUGCAUCCACUGAUAGACCUUGAACAAUUUGUGGUUGUUCUUCAGGUUUGCACUAGGAUGCAAAAGAAAAUACUCCCUGCGCUUUCUGUCUGUCUUUGUGGCUGUCCAGAUUGAAUUGGGGAGUACAUUU